UGGGCUUGACAUACACCAGAUCGCCGUAGAGAUACGGUUUCCCUUUGUGGUUGGUGUACAGGUGGUGCAUGGUU
rnacentral:rRNA from 1 species